UCCGACUUCUUGCCGGCAGUCACUCCAGAGUGCCCAACUCAAUGCUGGCAACUGAAGUCAAGGGUUGCGCUCGUUGCGGGACUUAACCCAACAUCUCACGACACGAGCUGACGACAACCAUGCACCACCUGUCUGGGAUGUCCCGAAGGAACGGGCUGUCUCCAGCCCCGUCAUCCCGAUGUCAAGCCCUGGUAAGGUUCUUCGCGUUGCUUCGAAUUAAACCACAUGCUCCACUGCUUGUGCGGGCCCCCGUCAAUUCCUUUGAGUUUCAGCCUUGCGGCCGUACUCCCCAGGCGGAGUGCUUAUUGUGUUAACUACGGCACUAAGGGUGUCAAAACCCCUAACACCUAGCACUCAUCGUUUACGGCGUGGACUAC
rnacentral:misc_RNA from 1 species